GAGAGGAGAGGGAGGAGAGAGAGGAGAGGGAGGAGAGAGAGGAGAGAGAGGAGAGGGAGGAGAGAGAGGAGAGGGAGGAGAGAGAGGAGAUGCAAUCUGGAGACCCUUCCAAGCCCGGACAGUAUCAGUGGAAGUGAUGGGGACCCAGUCAGACCUGAGUGACAGUGGGGCUGAGAGAAGACCAGUGAAGGUGGAGUUCACCCAACACAGUCUCAGUUACAUGGACAGACUUCUCAUCAAGAGACACCGCAGGCUCAUCUCAACACAGUGGACCUCAUCUCAACACAGUGGACCUCAUCUCAACACAGUGGACCUCAUCUCAACACAGUGGACCUCAUCUCAACACAGUGGACCUCAUCUCAGUACAGUGGAUCUCAUCUCAACACAGUGGAUCUCAUCUCAACACAGUGGAUCUCAUCUCAGCACAGUGGAUCUCAUCUCAGCACAGUGGAUCUCAUCUCAGCACAGUGGACCUCAUCUCAACACAGUGGACCUCAUCUCAGUACACUGGAUCUCAUCUCAGCACAGUGGAUCUCAUCUCAGCACAGUGGAUCUCAUCUCAACACAGUGGAUCUCAUCUCAACACAGUGGAU